UACGGAGGGGGCUAGCGUUGUUCGGAUUCAUUGGGCGUAAAGGGUGCGUAGGCGGCGCGGUAAGUCGGGUGUGAAAUCUUGGAGCUUAACUCCGAAACUGCAUUCGAUACUGCCGUGCUUGAGGACUGGAGAGGAGACUGGAAUUUACGGUGUAGCGGUGAAAUGCGUAGAUAUCGUAAGGAAGACCAGUGGCGAAGGCGGGUCUCUGGACAGCUCCUGACGCUGAGGCACGAAGGUCAGGGGAGCAAACGGG
rnacentral:rRNA from 1 species